rnacentral:rRNA from 1 species
AUUGAACGCUGGCGGCAUGCCUUACACAUGCAAGUCGAACGGCAGCACAGCAGAGGUAACUCUGUGGGUGGCGAGUGGCGAACGGGUGAGUAAUACAUCGGAACGUACCCUGUUGUGGGGGAUAACUACGCGAAAGCGUAGCUAAUACCGCAUACGCCCUGAGGGGGAAAGCGGGGGACCCUAAAUAGAGCGCACUGGGGAGUGCGUUGUAUUUAGGGCCUCGCGCAAUAGGAGCGGCCGAUGUCGGAUUAGCUAGUUGGUGAGGUAAUGGCUCACCAAGCCUACGAUCAGUAGCUGGUCUGAGAGGACGAACAGCCACACUGGAACUGAGACACGGUCCAGACUCCUACGGGAGGCAGCAGUGAGGAAUAUUGGACAAUGGGAGCAAUCCUGAUCCAGCAAUGCCGCGUGUGGGAUGACGGGGCUUUGCCUUGUAAACCACUGUCGGACGGGACGAGAAGAGGUAAGAACCUCU